rnacentral:lncRNA from 1 species
ACCAAGUAUGCCUAUGUAAUGAAACCUCAGUAAAGGUUCUGGACACCAAAGCGCAAGUGAACUUCUUUGGUUGACAGUACUCUGCAUAUUGUGGCACAUCAACAUGUCAGGAGGGUAAAGAGUCCUGAGGACAAGGAUGCUUCAUGUUUGGGACCCUCCCAGACCUUGACCUUUCACUGAUAAACUGGGCAUCCAAUUUGUUUUCCAUGAAAUUACUCCCCAGACUCUUUAAAUGUAUUCCUCUCAGCGCUGUUCUCUUGGAGCAUUCAUUUAUUUCUGAAAGCAGUAUUCAUCUGAUUGGUCUCUGCAAUCAUUGUUUCAGCCGAGCGUAUUCCCAAGGACAAAUCUAAGAGCACUAAUGUAGCUUUAUCUGAUUGAAGUGGCCUACUCUGUUGUUGCCAUUCAUGGAGCUCUCCGUCCAGCUCUAGUGUUCUCAAACAUGAAAAAUUCUGAGUUCAAAAUUAUGUUCAAUGGGAACUGAAAGUAGACUACAAAGAGGAUGCCUCCAGUCUCCUUUUAUACCUUCCCAAAAGAUGAUGUAAUACUUUGAACAGCCAAGAAGAGAACUGAAGGGUGGUACACUAGCUGUUGAGAAGAAAACUGAUGUGAAGAGGACAAGAACAAAAGCACGGAGACUAAUAAAUUAUUGCAAUACUCUGGAUCCCAGUUUUGUUCAGAGAGCGAAUGCCCAGGAAAAAUAUGCCCAGAAGCUCUCACAGCUAAAAGCCAUCAUGUGACUCGUACUGACUGAUGAGAUGGGAAUGGAAGUCUACCUGGAGGAUAAGCUGUAUGUUUUCACGUUAAAAAGAAAGACUUGGUGGGGCCUGCCUGUGACCAAGUGGUUAAAGUUCCCCAUGCUCUGCUUCAGCACCCUGGGUUCUCUGGUUCGGAUCCUGGGUGCAGACCUACUCCACUCAUCAGCCAUGCUGUGGAGGCGUCCUGCAUACAAAAAAUGGAGGAAGAUUGGCACAGAUGUUAGCUCAGGGCUAAUCUUCCUAAAGCAAAGUAAAAGGAGGAUUGGCAAUGGAUCUUGGCUCAGGGUGAAUCUUCCUCACCAAAAAAGAAAAAAGAAAAGAAACAAGACUUGGCUGGCUGCCCUUUCCCUUUUCUCCUUCUAUGGAGGAUGGAUGCCAUGCUAAUGGUGGUGGUGCAGAGGGUUAGAAAGCUGGAUGGUUGAUGAGUUUCUUGGGCACCUGCCCCAGCACUGCACUCUCUACCUCCAGAUUUUGAUUAAUG